AGAGUUUGAUCCUGGCUCAGGACGAACGCUGGCGGCGUGCCUAACACAUGCAAGUCGAACGGAGGUAUUUAUUUCGGUAGAUAUCUUAGUGGCGCACGGGUGAGUAACGCGUGAAUAACCUGACCCGAAGAGGGGGAUAACACCUGGAAACAAGUGCUAAUACCGCAUAAGACCACGGACCGGCAUCGGUCAGAGGUCAAAGGAGGAAUCCGCUUUGGGAGGGGUUCGCGUCCCAUUAGGUAGUUGGUAAGGUAACGGCCCACCAAGCCGACGAUGGGUAGCCGAGCUGAGAGGCUGAUCGGCCACUCUGGAACUGAGACACGGUCCAGACUCCUACGGGAGGCAGCAGUGGGGAAUAUUGGGCAAUGGGCGCAAGCCUGACCCAGCAACGCCGCGUGAGGGAAGAAGGUUUUCGGAUUGUAAACCUCUGUCGCAGGGGACGAAGGAAGUGACGGUACCCUGUAAGAAAGCCCCGGCUAACUACGUGCCAGCAGCCGCGGUAAUACGUAGGGGGCGAGCGUUGUCCGGAAUUACUGGGCGUAAAGGGAGCGUAGGCGGUCGAUUAAGUUAGAUGUGAAAUCCCCGGGCUUAACUUGGGGACUGCAUCUGAUACUGGUUGACUUAGAGUACAGGAGAGGGAAGCGGAAUUCCUAGUGUAGCGGUGAAAUGCGUAGAUAUUAGGAGGAACACCAGUGGCGAAGGCGGCUUUCUGGACUGACACUGACGCUGAGGCUCGAAAGCGUGGGGAGCAAACAGGACUAGAUACCCUGGUAGUCCACACCGUAAACGAUGAUUACUAGGUGUUGGAGGAUUGACCCCUUCAGUGCCGCAGUUAACACAAUAAGUAAUCCACCUGGGGAGUACGACCGCAAGGUUGAAACUCAAAGGAAUUGACGGGGGCCCGCACAAGCAGUGGAGUAUGUGGUUUAAUUCGACGCAACGCGAAGAACCUUACCAAGUCUUGACAUCCCUUGACGAUGCUGGAAACAGUGUUUCUCUUCGGAGCAAGGAGACAGGUGGUGCAUGGUUGUCGUCAGCUCGUGUCGUGAGAUGUUGGGUUAAGUCCCGCAACGAGCGCAACCCUUAUGGUCAGUUACUACGCAAGAGGACUCUGGCCAGACUGCCGUUGACAAAACGGAGGAAGGUGGGGAUGACGUCAAAUCAUCAUGCCCUUUAUGACUUGGGCUACACACGUACUACAAUGGCGUUAAACAAAGAGAAGCAAGACCGCGAGGUGGAGCAAAACUCAGAAACAACGUCCCAGUUCGGACUGCAGGCUGCAACUCGCCUGCACGAAGUCGGAAUUGCUAGUAAUCGUGGAUCAGCAUGCCACGGUGAAUACGUUCCCGGGCCUUGUACACACCGCCCGUCACACCAUGAGAGCCGGGGGGACCCGAAGUCGGUAGUCUAACCGCAAGGAGGACGCCGCCGAAGGUAAAACUGGUGAUUGGGGUGAAGUCGUAACAAGGU
rnacentral:rRNA from 1 species